CCCCACCUAGUCAACGAUGGAUAGGGGUUCUGAGAGGAAGGUCCCCCACAUUGGAACUGAGACACGGUCCAAACUCCUACGGGAGGCAGCAGUGAGGAAUAUUGGUCAAUGGGCGAUGGCCUGAACCAGCCAAGUAGCGUGAAGGAUGACUGCCCUAUGGGUUGUAAACUUCUUUUAUAAAGGAAUAAAGUCGGGUAUGCAUACCCGUUUGCAUGUACUUUAUGAAUAAGGAUCGGCUAACUCCGUGCCAGCAGCCGCGGUAAUACGGAGGAUCCGAGCGUUAUCCGGAUUUAUUGGGUUUAAAGGGAGCGUAGAUGGAUGUUUAAGUCAGUUGUGAAAGUUUGCGGCUCAACCGUAAAAUUGCAGUUGAUACUGGAUGUCUUGAGUGCAGUUGGGGCAGGCGGAAUUCGUGGUGUAGCGGUGAAAUGCUUAGAUAUCACGAAGAACUCCGAUUGCGAAGGCAGCCUGCUAAGCUGCAACUGACAUUGAGGCUCGAAAGUGUGGGUAUCAAACAGGAUUAGAUACCCUGGUAGUCCACACGGUAAACGAUGAAUACUCGCUGUUUGCGAUAUACGGCAAGCGGCCAAGCGAAAGCGUUAAGUAUUCCACCUGGGGAGUACGCCGGCAACGGUGCAACUCAAAGGAAUUGACGG
rnacentral:rRNA from 1 species